rnacentral:rRNA from 1 species
UCGGAUUACUGGGCGUAAAGCGUGCGCAGGCGGAUUGUUAAGCAAGACGUGAAAGCCCCGGGCUUAACCUGGGAAUGGCGUUUUGAACUGGCAGUCUAGAGUGCGUCAGAGGGGGGUGGAAUUCCACGUGUAGCAGUGAAAUGCGUAGAGAUGUGGAGGAACACCAAUGGCGAAGGCAGCCCCCUGGGAUGACACUGACGCACAUGUACGAAAGCGUGGGUAGCAAACAGGAUUAGAUACCCUGGUAGUCCACGCCCUAAACGAUGUCAACUGGUUGUUGGGGGAGUGAAAUCCCUUACUAACGAAGCUAACGCGUGAAGUUGACCGCCUGGGGAGUACGGUCGCAAGAUUAAAACUCAAAGGAAUUGACGGGGACCCGCACAAGCGGUGGAUGAUGUGGAUUAAUUCGAUGCAACGCGAAAAACCUUACCUACCCUUGACAUGUCCAGGAUCCUGCAGAGAUGCGGGAGUGCCCGAAAGGGAAUUGGAACACAGGUGCUGCAUGGCUGUCGUCAGCUCGUGUCGUGAGAUGUUGGGUUAAGUCCCGCAACGAGCGCAACCCUUAUCAUUAGUUGCUACGCAAGGGCACUCUAAUGAGACUGCCGGUGACAAACCGGAGGAAGGUGGGGAUGACGUCAAGUCCUCAUGGCCCUUAUGGGUAGGGCUUCACACGUCAUACAAUGGUCGGUACAGAGGGUUGCCAAGCCGCGAGGUGGAGCCAAUCCCAGAAAGCCGAUCGUAGUCCGGAUUGUUCUCUGCAACUCGAGAGCAU